AGGAGUCUGGGUGAUAAGAUCUCACAAUGGGUAUGUGACCUCUUAAAGAAUAAAAAAACAGGUUAUUUGGGAGUAAUCGGAUAUCUGAAAUGUGAGCAGUAUUUUUGUGGAAUUUGUAGCAGUCCUUAAUGGAGUUUGUAUGUCUUGAGUUUCUUGGGAACCUUUUGAAAUUCCUUAUUAGAAUGCAGAUUGCAGUGGCAGUAAUGAGAAUAUGCUUGUGGUUUAAUUUGCAUUUUUCCCCUUUUGUUUGCAGGGCAGUAUCUGAUGGAUCCAGCAGAAGCCAAGCUAAAAUAGGGCCAGUGCUGUACUGAGUGGCUGUGCCAAUGGGGAUAUGCCUACGUAACAGCUAUAGCCAGCAGUUGUACUAAGUUCUUCACUGCUCA